rfam:Chryseobacterium bovis DSM 19482 genome assembly, contig: LX71DRAFT_scaffold00017.17
CCCUAGCCCCGAUGGAAGCGGCAUCCUUUUGUUUUGAGUGAGGUGGCGGAGCGAAGCGGAGCCAACCGAGCGAAAAACAAAAGAUACAGCGGACAGCGGGAAUUGCU